UCCGUAGGUGAACCUGCGGAAGGAUCAUUAAAGAGUUAGGGUCCCCUGGGCCCGACCUCCCAACCCUUUGUUUACUGAACCUCUGUUGCUUCGGCGGACCCGCCUCACGGCCGCCGGAGGACCGCCCCCAGGCGUCCUCUGGCCAGCGUCCGCCGAUAGCCACUCUCAAAACUCUUGAAUAAAUCAUGUUAUUGUCUAAGUCUAUGAUGCAAAUCAAUAAAGCAAAACUUUCAACAACGGAUCUCUUGGUUCUGGCAUCGAUGAAGAACGCAGCGAAAUGCGAUAAGUAAUGCGAAUUGCAGAAUUCCAGUGAGUCAUCGAAUCUUUGAACGCACAUUGCGCCCUUUGGUAUUCCGAAGGGCAUACCUGUUCGAGCGUCAUUAUCACCCCUCAAGCCCCGUGCUUGGUGUUGGACGGCCGGUCGAGGCGACUUGACCCCUCCUAAAGACAAUGACGGCGGCCUGUGGUUCCCCCGGUACACUGAGCUUUUAACUGAGCACGUAUCGGACAAGGGCGCCCAGGACCCGGUCCUCUCCUUUGACUAGGAAACUUCUCAAGGUUGACCUCGGAUCAGGUAGGAAUACGCGCUGAACUU
rnacentral:misc_RNA from 22 species